CCUACGGGAGGCAGCAGUGGGGAAUCUUGCGCAAUGGGCGAAAGCCUGACGCAGCCAUGCCGCGUGAAUGAUGAAGGUCUUAGGAUUGUAAAAUUCUUUCACCGGGGACGAUAAUGACGGUACCCGGAGAAGAAGCCCCGGCUAACUUCGUGCCAGCAGCCGCGGUAAUACGAAGGGGGCUAGCGUUGCUCGGAAUUACUGGGCGUAAAGGGAGCGUAGGCGGACAUUUAAGUCAGGGGUGAAAUCCCAGAGCUCAACUCUGGAACUGCCUUUGAUACUGGGUGUCUUGAGUGUGAUAGAGGUAUGUGGAACUCCGAGUGUAGAGGUGAAAUUCGUAGAUAUUCGGAAGAACACCAGUGGCGAAGGCGACAUACUGGAUCAUUACUGACGCUGAGGCUCGAAAGCGUGGGGAGCAAACAGGAUUAGAUACCCUGGUAGUCCACGCCGUAAACGAUGAUUGCUAGUUGUUGGGAUGUUUACAUCUCGGUGACGCAGCUAACGCAUUAAGCAAUCCGCCUGGGGAGUACGGUCGCAAGAUUAAAACUAGAAGUAGUAGCGNGNGAGAGCGACGACGACGACGAGGAGGAGG
rnacentral:rRNA from 1 species